CCGGACCUGACUGCUAUCGGAUUGGUACUAAGCCAUGCGAGUCAUUGUAGCGAUACAAGGCGGACGGCUCAGUAACACGUAGUCAACCUAACCUAUGGACGUGGAUAACCUCGGGAAACUGAGAAUAAACCACGAUAGAUCAUUAUGCCUGGAAUGGCUUAUGGUUCAAACAAUUUAUUGCCGUAGGAUGGGACUGCGGCCUAUCAGCUUGUUGGUGAGGUAAUGGCCCACCAAGGCUAUAACAGGUACGGGCUCUGAGAGGAGAAGCCCGGAGAUGGGUACUGAGACACGGACCCAGGCCCUAUGGGGCGCAGCAGGCGAGAAACCUUAGCAAUGUGCGAAAGCACGACUAGGUUAAUCCGAGUGAUUUCUGUUGAAGAAAUCUUUUGUCAGUCGUAAAACCACAGACGAAUAAGGGGUGGGCAAGUCUGGUGUCAGCCGCCGCGGUAAUACCAGCACCUCGAGUGGUCAGGAGGUUUAUUGGGCCUAAAGCAUCCGUAGCCGGCUUUGCAAGUCUCCGGUUAAAUCCAGCUGCUCAACAGAUGGGCUGCCGGAGAUACUACAAAGCUAGGGAGCGGGAGAGGUAGACGGUAUUCUGUGGGUAGGGGUAAAAUCCACUGAUCCAUAGAGGACCACCAGUGGCGAAGGCGGUCUACCAGAACGCGUUCGACGGUGAGGGGUGAAAGCUGGGGGAGCAAACCGGAUUAGAUACCCGGGUAGUCCCAGCUGUAAACGAUGCAAACUCGGUGAUGCAUUGGCUUAUGGCCAAUGCAGUGCCGCAGGGAAGCCGUUAAGUUUGCCGCCUGGGAGGUACGGACGCAAGUCUGAAACUUAAAGGAAUUGGCGGGGGAGCACCACAAGGGGUGAAGCCUGCGGUUCAAUUGGAUUCAACGCCGG
rnacentral:rRNA from 1 species